rnacentral:rRNA from 1 species
UGACAUCAGAUCAGGUAGGAUUACCCGCUGAACU